GAUCCUGGCUCAGGACGAACGCCGGCGGCGUGCCUAACACAUGCAAGUCGAACGGAACUUUUUUAAAAGAUUUCUUCGGAAUGAAUUUGAUUAAGUUUAGUGGCGGACGGGUGAGUAACGCGUGAGUAACCUGCCUCUGAGAGGGGAAUAACAUUCUGAAAAGAAUGCUAAUACCGCAUAACAUAUAUUUAUCGCAUGGUAGAUAUAUCAAAGAUUUAUCGCUUAGAGAUGGACUCGCGUCCGAUUAG
rnacentral:rRNA from 1 species